CAGACCUCCAGCUCACAAUUCCAGCAGUGCAGAGGGAAGCCUAAAGGCUGUGAUACAGUUGCCCAAAGGGGUCCUCCCUGAGGGGAGGGAUGACCUACCCCAGAGACAACUAGAGAGGGAAAUAUCCUGUGGAGCUUGGACAUUGGAAGAUGGGGACAUAAUUCACCUGACACACUUGAAGCAGCUGUCAUUUGGCUAGCUGACAGAGAGACAAGACAAUAAGAAUGCAUCAUUCUGUGACAUCACAGCAAACUCAACUGGAGUAUGAAGAGACCCUCAACUGUUUGAGGUCUUACAAAAGAAAUUAGAUGAAGAGAAAAUGAGUCUGCUACAAUGACUGUGUCUGUCAAUUGUUGCUGUGCAUUGGCCAAUCCACUAUAUUUUAAAACAAAUCCAUAGAUUCACCACCAACUGAAUGGAACGUGCCACCUGUCUGAAAAAGAAACAAAGAAAUAAUUGUGUAAAAAGUCCACUUUUCAAUGAAUCAAAAGAAAAGGUAUAUGUCACAGAUCUUAUUUUAAGAGUACGAGACAAAAACUAUGUGAUAUACUAUAAGAAAAUUUAUAUGCAGUACUCUUAUCAAUAAGAUUUAUAGCAUAGUGUUACUUGUGUAUCUGAUGUUUCUGUCUCUCUCUCUCUCUUUUUCAGUAGUUUUCAGUUACAGGUAUUGUAUGGUAAAUAGACCAUCUUUAUAGCUGAAUAGGACAAGUUAUAUUAAAUCUUUCAAACUUGCUGUUAAGAGUCCAAAAGAAAGCAAAACACAUCCCUUUUGUUUAAAAUAUUAACACCUACUCUAACAAAUAUUUCCUCCAAGGACCUGAGAAAUCUGAGCUGUGAUCUUCCUGGUUUCUCUGCCACAGAAUUACAGCAAUAGUAGCAAAUAGAAUUUUAGAAGAAAUGGUUCUUUCAAACCUUUGAUUAGGGUCUGUCAUUCUGACAGAGACAA